GACAGAGGUGCCAAGCGUUAGGCGGAAUUACUGGCGUAAAGCGUGCGCAGGCGGUGAUGUAAGACCGAUGUGAAAUCCCCCGGGCUUAACCUGGGAACUGCAUUGGUGACUGCAUUGCUAGAGUAUGGCAGAGGGGGGUGGAAUUCCACGUGUAGCAGUGAAAUGCGUAGAGAUGUGGAGGAACACCGAUGGCGAAGGCAGCCCCCUGGGCCGAAUACUGACGCUCAUGCCACGAAAGCGUGGGGAGCAAACAGG
rnacentral:rRNA from 1 species